rnacentral:lncRNA from 1 species
UAUUGCUAUCUCUCCUCCUCUUUGAUCUUUGCUUUGAGAGAACAUGGGCUAUCUCUUUUUUUUCAGGUGGGUAGUAGAUACCCCUAAUUCUACUGUCGGACACUUGUCCAUUUUUUCCGCUCAAGUGGGCAUCUUUGUACCCCUAAUUCUACUCCGGACACUUGUCCAUUUUUACCUCUCGUCUCACUCUUUUUAUUUCUUUUUCGAGGUUCCGGGCACUUUCCCCUUUUUAUUUCCUCGCAUAUUUUUGCAUAACGCAUGCCUCUUCUGUAUUGAAUAUUUUUAGAGAGAGAGAAUAACAACACUUGGGACAGUGAGUGAUAACAUUUUUUAACAAUUUUAUUGAAUGGUGGAUGAUGUAGUGGAUGUGUGCAAGUGAAUAUCUUAAUUUAACCACAUGAAAAGCUCCUAAGGGUCUACACAGCUCGAUCAAACUCAAUGUGAAUAUAGUAAAAGAUGUUAUAGGAAGUAUGGCUGUGGUAGGUAGUUUGUAAUGCUAGGAACUCAUCAUGUGAUUUGUAAGUUUUCAAAAUAAAUCUCCAGAACUUAGUGUAGUAGGAACAAGAUAAACAGUAGCUCAAACUUUAUAUCAUGCCUUUCUCUUACCUAGACUUUAGUUUUAUGCUUCCCAUAGAUAGUAAGUUUUAGUAAUUCCUAGAAGAACUCUAAUAUAAAAGCUAGGUACUUGUAAGAAAGCAAACAGAGCAACUGUUCAUUAUUUCCAUCGUACAUCUUUUUGGUCUCUUUAUUUUUCUAAAGAUUAACACUUAGUAGGGAAAAUAAAGCACACUUAUCUACACACUCUUUUUAUUUUGUUUUCAUGUUUAUAGAAUGCAGUAAUUUAAAGCAAAAAAAUAUUUAUUGGGUUUUCUAAGUUUUUCUUUCUAAAAUAAAAUACUAAAAUAGAAAAGAAUAUUUAAGAAGAGCAAAUAAAAACUUACUUGAUAAAUUUGGGAGGAGCUCCCCCAAGAUGGAUGUUGAUAUCGGUCUUACCCGAUGUUCCAGAACCGCAUCAUGGUUGUGAUGUUGUCGUUCAUUGUUGUUGUAUCUUGUCUCAGCUCUUGUACUGCAGUGGCGUGGUCCUGGUUCCAUUUCUGUUGUUGUUCCAGGAGUUGUCCAUGUUCUACUUGCGUGUUCUGGAUGUCGAGGAGAGUGUUGUCGGUGCGGUUGAAGAAAGCGCUGGCCUCUUGGUAGUAGUCAUUCGUGAAAGCGUAGGAGGCGUUGGAGUAUCGUCCUGCAUCGAAUUGGGACGGAGGCCUGGAUCCUGAAGCUCCAUAAGGAUCAGUGGAGUACCUGCCCGUUUGGAAAGGCGGGUUUGUCCACUGGUGAUCAAAGCAGACGUACCUUUAUGGCAUCAAGCAGAGGUAUGUUGACAUAUAAUUUCUGAAUGACCUCUACAAACUUACCAAACUGCUCGUCCGACUGCAGUCCUCUGUUUCUUCUGGGAAAUGGCAAAUAGUUGGUGUCGUAAAAAUCUUUCCUCAUUUCUCCAGUUCUUGGUGGUUGUAGCAGAUCUUCUGCUUCAACUGGUCUUUCCUCUUCUAUCACUGCUGGUUGCACUGGUGCUGAUGUUCUUUGUUUCUCUUUUGGGUAUGGGGGAUCCCUGGUGGCUUUGCCUCCUCUAGUAGUUAUAUUCUUUACCUGCUCAAUGUUAGUAGCAACAGGCAGUGCAGCAGCUAACUUUAUUAAUUUAAGCUCUACCCUUUUAUUAAGAGUGUUUUGCUCAUCAAAGGCAGUUAAUAGAAAGUCCAUUUUAUUGUGUAUAUCUUUUAGAGAUGAUUCAUUUGUAUCUAGCCUUUGUUUAACUUCAUCAUUAAUUUUGGUUUGUUGAGCAAUUAUCUCUUUUAAUGAAAGUUGCUUGAAAGUAUUACCUGAAUUCAUACCUUUGCCAUUGGGUUGACUCGAGGUUGGUUGAUAUUUGUGUGCUUUCUCAAUGGCCCUUUGAUCUUCUUUGAACUUGGCCCUCUAGUCAAUCCAAUGGAGCAAAUUUUCCAUCUUGGUUGAUAGUGCAUUUACUUCUUGUGGUAUUUCUUCAGUUUGAUGACAUUGUUGAGCUUCAUCUUGGAACCAGCUUUGAUUUUCUGCUAUCUUAUCCAAAAGUAUUUCUGCUUUUCCAAUUGUAAGAUCCAAGAAUGAUCCUUUAGCAGAUGCAUCUAGGCACUCACGAGCCUUCUGGGUUAAUCCAUGGUAGAAGGUCUGCAUAAGUAACCAUGUGGCCAUUCCAUGGUGAGGACAAUCUAAAAUGUAUCCUUAAAAACGCUCCCAUGCUUCUGAAAUGGUUUCUGUCUUCUGCUGUUGGAAACUGACAAUAUUUCCUCUUAAGGCAGUUGUUUUGCCUAUAGGGAAAAACUUUGAUAGAAAGGCAUCUGACAAGUUCGUCCAGUUAUUGAUGUUAUCUUGAUGAGUGUAGAACCACUUCCUCGCUUUCCCUUCUAGUGAGAAUGGAAAAAGGCGAAGCAGUAUGACGUCUUUGUCGACUCCAUUGAUGUGGAUUGUGCUUCCAAUUUCUAAGAAAUUCUGCAAGUGUGCACUAGCAUCUUCAUGUGCCUUUCCACUGAUUUGUGUAGCUUGUACCAAAUUGAUGAGGCUUGACUUGAGCUCGAACUUGGGUGCUCCUUCUUCUACUAAAAAUAUUGGAAAAGUUGGAAUGUUCUCAAGAAUUGGAGCAGAGAAUUCUUGUAGGGUCUUCUGUGCCAUAGCUUCAGCAAUUGGUAGCUAGCUUCUUCUUUCUUUCUUGAUUGCUUUGGUUCUGAUGAUGAAGAGUUGAAUGUACCCAAAGUCAAUCCUGAUAUACCCUGUAUAAAAAUAUAAACAUAGAAAAACAACAGGGUGAACCUGCCAAAGCAGAGGUGCCUUGUUAUGAUUUCUCACUUUGUAGCUGUUUUAUGCAAUUAUUUCUCUAUAGUCUAGUCUAAUAUUUUAUGUGAAUAACCCUGACUGAUUUCCUGACUUUCCUUACUGUUCCUAUAUGUUACCCUUUUGUUCCCCGGCAACGGCGCUAGAAAUGCUUGUUGACACUAGCUAACACCACUUGAAUACUAGGUUGUCAUCCCCAGCAUGGUACCAGAGUGUACAAAGGUAUUUAUAAAUGUAAAGGCUCUCUAGAAAAUAAUCUAUUCUAUCUGCAAGCGCACAGAUAAAACACCUCAUUGUAGCAUUUCACCAGGAUAAGUAUUCCAGGUAUCGUUAUUUAUAAUUUUGCUUAAGAGAACAAAAGGGAUGAAAUUUAAAUAAGGGCAAAAUCUAUCAAGGCAUAUACUAGAGAUAAACUUGCAAGAACAUGAUUACUAAUGAGAAACUCGUCACACAGUCACUUACUUUGGCAGGGGGUAAACCAUAAAGAUAAUGAUAAUGAAUUAUAAGUUCAAGGGUAAAUAACACAGCGAUUAGAAAAUAGACUACAUCUCAUAUAUGUAGGUGACGUCGGAUUUGCUAGAGAAUGGAUUCUAAGUUAUCUACUAUCUACUAAGUCAUAAUCUACUCUAGUUAUCUACAAGAUCAUGUAUAGCAUAAAAGACUCUUCAUUCAUGUAUAAGGAACAUUGCUAAAGUAAAUCAGAGCAUCGCAAGUUUUACUCCACAAUACCGGUUCUGCCUGUCCUGUCAACGGAGGGUGGACUAUAUAAGAAUCAACGAAGCUGUCACUAUCGCGAACUACCACACGACCCGGCCAAUAGGAUACAUUUGUAGGUAAACAUCAUCUAAGAACCACGCCCACAUGUGAUCUACCACUUAACUCCCUCGCGUCAAGAGCUAAGCGCUUUGCAGACUUAUACAUAAACUCAUUAUCAAUCAUAACUAUAUCAAAUAUAGAACUAGAGCAAACUAAGAACAUAAUAAUUAGAGACAUAAUGCAAUUAGAACAAAGAAUUAGAGAAAGAUAUGAAUAAUACCAAUCUUUAUUACCGAAGAUCCGAAUCCAGAGCGUAGUGCUCUACUUCUCUAAUUGCUAUCUAAUCAAACCUCUAAACUUGAAGGAUUAGGGAGUAGCUAAUUCUAAUUCUCUGUGGGAGAGAAGCUCUAAACCCUAACUUUGAUGGCUACCUCUGAUAAUGAUUUCUUCUCUUCUCCUCUCUUCCCCAGGGGUGGAGAGGCCUUGAUUAUAUAGUCCUUUCAAGUAAAUUUGGGCCGUCGGAUCAAACCGACCUUGAUUGCAUGGUUUAGAUUCAUCCUCAAAGGCGGUGGAGCGUAGUCCCGAAAGAUAGUCCUGAUCCAACUCUAACAGGGGGCGGGCGCCCAGGUCAACUGGGCGGGCGCCCAGUGCCUGGCCCUGUUCGGCCUCCGCUUCCUUCCCGUGGCUUCUGGAGUCUUCUAGAUUGAGGAAAAUUGCGCGGCACGUAAUUACCUCGUUGUAAACAUGACAUGUGGGCGUUCUCUCCAUAUUUUCUGAUAACCCCCUGCAGAAAUAGAUAAACACCAAAGCUCGUGGAAUUCUGUCAGAUAAAACCCUAAUUCUAGAUGUUUGGUGCAUAUUGAUCCUUUUCCAUGUUUAUUGGAUUAUUAAUUUUAGUACUUAAGGACCGUCAACAAACUCCCCCAAGCUUACCCUUUUCUCGUCCCUGAGCAAACAGCUAAACUCAGAUGGAUCAGGAGUUGCUUUGAUGUUUUCUUUCCUGACAAGCACACAUGCUUUCAUAUAAAAUUCUUCCAGAUUAGAGUGAAGUGUUAUGGAGCUUAGUACCUGCACUUAAGUCUUAAGUAAUUGAAAGACAAAAUAAUUAAGUCAAGCACUAUUCCUCCUGUCUAUACUUCACAUUUGUUCCACAGUUUUUCAUAAGUUUUCAAAAUAAAACUCAGAGUUUCAAGCAAUGAUUCUCUCAAGUCUCUCUAUAUGUGGUAUUUGUGGAUCCUUACCAAAAUGUCACUUACCUAUAGCUAAUGGAAUAUUUAAGUGGAGCUCAUAGGAGUGAAAAACAGCUCGUACAUAUGUUGUCUAAUCGAGCCAUGGAUACAAAGGAACUCAGCAUAUAAUUAAAUUAAGAUGUGCAUGUGUGGUGGAGUAAAUGAUAGUGAUGGUAAAAAUGUAUAAGUGAUAAUAAAACUUACUUCUCAUUGCUCCUCAUAUUGCUAUCUCUCCUCCUCUUUGAUCUUUGCUUUGAGAGAACAUGGGCUAUCUCUUUUUUUUUCAGGUGGGUAGUAGAUACCCCUAAUUCUACUGUCGGACACUUGUCCAUUUUUUCUGCUCAAGUGGGCAUCUUUGUACCCCUAAUUCUACUCCGGACACUUGUCCAUUUUUACCUCUCGUCUCACUCUUUUUCUUUCUUUUUCGAGGUUCCGGGCACUUGUCCCUUUUUAUUUCCUCGCAUAUUUUUGCAUAACCCAUG